rnacentral:rRNA from 1 species
ACGGAAGGCAGCAGUGGGGAAUAUUGCACAAUGGGGGAAACCCUGAUGCAGCGACGCCGCGUGAGUGAAGAAGUAUUUCGGUAUGUAAAGCUCUAUCAGCAGGAAAGAAAAUGACGGUACCUGACUAAGAAGCCCCGGCUAACUACGUGCCAGCAGCCGCGGUAAUACGUAGGGGGCAAGCGUUAUCCGGAUUUACUGGGUGUAAAGGGAGCGUAGACGGCUUUGCAAGUCUGAAGUGAAAGCCCGGGGCUCAACCCCGGAACUGCUUUGGAAACUGUAGAGCUAGAGUGCAGGAGAGGUAAGUGGAAUUCCUAGUGUAGCGGUGAAAUGCGUAGAUAUUAGGAGGAACACCAGUGGCGAAGGCGGCUUUCUGGACUGUAACUGACACUGAGGCUCGAAAGCGUGGGGAGCGAACAGGAUUAGAUACCCUGGUA